AAAAAGACAAACUCUGAGUUUCCGUGUUCAACGUUUGACUGUCUGUCUUAUAUGAAAUUUUUUUAUAUUUAGUAUUUUUAUUGUUGUUAGAUGAUAAAACAUGAUUAAUACUUUGUGCGUGACUUGUCUUUUUAAUUUUUUUCAUAAUUUUUUUUAAAUAAGACGGACGGUUAAAAAUUGGAUACGGAAAUCCAGAGUUUGUCUUUUU
rfam:Oryza sativa Japonica Group DNA, chromosome 12, cultivar: Nipponbare, complete sequence.